UAAGCACUCAGAUAUACGAGGCUCUGGGAAUCAUUCUUAUCCAAAGCACCACAAUGAUCUUUGGUCAUUGUGGAGUCUCCCAGCUACAAUAAGCAGGUUUCCAUACUAUCUGGAGUCACAAAUCCGGAAUAUACACUCUAUAGAACAAUGAGGUGACCUCGCACCUGACCAGCAGCUGUGAACUGCAGCCCCCAGAGCCUUCAGAAGAAUAUGACUUCCAUAUCACCUCUCCCUCCAAAGAGCAAGCAGAAGAUUUCUUGCGGCUUCUUCUGACCUAGAACUAUUCAUUCUAGAUCCUGUUCAGUUGACUAUCAUGGAAUGCUCGCAGCAAUACAAAGAGGCAUUGUUCAUCCCUUUCCUAAAGCAUUAAUCAAGAUUACUUGGGUCUGAUCACACUGUUGGCGGGAGUCCUCGGAACCUGUUCUGCGGUUGGGAGCCUUGCUAUUAAGCAAAUUGUGUUUUGUGCUCUCUUGUUUGUUUUUCACUUCUCUCAAACUUUACUAAUUUUAAUUGAUCUAAAGAAUUCCCCCUUUUUGUUAUUUCUUAAGAAUAGACAAAGUUUUAUUUUUCUCAAAAUACUUUAUUCUGCCCAAUUGACAGUGUGUGUCCUGCGUAGAA
rnacentral:lncRNA from 1 species